CUUAAGUAUUCAAUCAUUACCUGUCGCAUAUGCAAUUCAUUAUAAUCAACAGUAUAAAAUGGUUUUUGUUCGAUGUUUCAUCACAAUUGUCGAGGAUCUUAACUUGAGACACUUUGAGCUACUAUUUGAAUAGCUAUGACCAUUGCAAAGUGUGUGUUUUUACUGUUGUUGGUUAUAUACAUGGCAGCCUUGGUUCACUCCUGGGUGCCAAGAUAUAAUACUAAUAAUUUCUACAGAAGAAACAUGUGGAGAUACCGUAUGAUGUACAGGGGAGGAGAUUCUGAUGACUUCUAUGAUGACUAAACAAAUAACGGUAUCAAAUGUACUGGCAUUAAUGGUGAUUCGACGAACAAUCCCUCCACAGUUAUGCAUACACUUCUGAAUAAAGUGUAAAACAGACAUAUAUAUGAUUAUACUUAUGCAUCAAUCAUGUGAUAUAUUUUUUUAUUUUUGAAAUUCAAUAAAGUUAUGUUAUGACCACA